rnacentral:lncRNA from 1 species
CUAGGAAGAUUGAAGCUCAGCUUGACGAGCAGAUGCAUUCAUAUCGCAGACUCGUUUCCACAAAGGCUCUGAUAAAGUCAGAUGGUGCAGAGAGUGACCUUGAAGCUGGGAUUGACUCACUGCUUAGGCAACUGCAACAAGUUAAUGCUCAGAUGCAAGCUUGGGUUUCUUCAGGUGGUUCAGAGAUGGUCUCUCAUACUUUAACUCGUCAUCAGGAGAUCCUUCAGGAUCUGACACAGGUAUGUAUGAUCCUUAGAUAAUUAUUUAAUCUCUUAAGCUUGGGUUGAUGAGGUUCUGAUUAGCAAUGCAAUGAAUGUUAGACUAGUUUAUGACUCAGCCUUUGUUGUGGAAUGAGCCUUGUUCCUGUAUGUAUGACUUAUUCAAAAUGCAGGAGUUUUAUCGACACCGAUCAAGUCUUAGAGCGAAACAAGAGCAUGCUUCACUUCUUGAGGACUUUAGAGAAUUUGAUCGGACUAGGUUAGACUUAGAAGAUGGGGAUGGCUCUACGGAACAAGCCUUGCUCAAAGAAAACGUGGGAAUCAACCGCAAUGCAGCUCAGGUAAAUAAAAUCCUUGUUAUAGACUAUGCAGAUGUAUCAUACAUUAAGAUGUGCUUUAUCAGUUUAGUUGAAGACCACCAUAGCUUAUGUGAACUUAUUGUAUAUAAACGGUGCAGAUGGAUGGUGUCAUUUCACAAGCUCAGGCAACACUUGGUACACUCGUGUUUCAGCGCUCAACUUUUGGAGGCAUCAACUCUAAGCUUAGCAAUGUCACCAGCCGUCUACCCACGGUACAAAGAGCUUUCCUUUCUCUUAUUUGCAUACUCUUUUGCUCUUUGCUUUCUUUCUGUGUGGAUAUCAUAUGUAUACCUGACUCUGCAAUGCCAUGGUUAAACCCACUCUGCAGGUGAACACUAUUCUGUCAGCGAUAAAGAGGAAAAAGUCAAUGGAUACAAUCAUUCUUUCACUAGUUGCGGCUGUAUGCACGUUUCUCAUAUUCAUCUACUGGUUAACCAAGUAAAAUUUUUCAAUUCAUCUCUGUUGGGCCACGUCUGGUUUUCCCAUGAUGUUAAUUUGUUAUGUGAUCAUCCAUCGGUGUUCUAGUAAAGAAUCUAAAGAUCAAAAACAUAAAUAUUUUGUGUACAGCAAAACUUCAUUCCUAUGUUUUGCAGUUUUGACGAGCUUAUACAACCAUCUGUUUCUUUCAUCUGAUACUGGAUUUUUGGCUCUGUAGCAGAGUUGUGGCUUUGAGGAUGAUACAAAUAUUUGAAAUCAAUCUGGCUUUAAUAAAAUUCUAAUCAUAAAUGAUUAUGUAUCCACUGUGUACGUAGCUAUAUCACAUGUAACAAAAAUCAUAUAAUGUGUCUUUUUGAAGUUUGAAGGAUGAAAACUCAAAUAAAACUGUGCUGAAUCAGUUUGUUGGCCCAACGAUCCUGCAAUCCAAACACAUACACAGAGAUUAGUCAGUCAAUAAAGAGAGUUCGAGCUUAAACUGUGUGUUUGAAAAGAUUACUUACUCAAGUGAAUGAUUUUCAGCUCUCAGGCUUGCUUUUCACUAAUCCACUCAACAAAACUGUCGAGAACCAAUGGCCAUGCAAGCUCUGGAUUGUAUUCCGUCAUCUCCGGGAAACUUAUCUGUAUAAACACUGUCUAGUUAGUUGAUGAAACUGCCAAGUAGGGAACUAAAAAGACUAGGAAACAUACCUCAUUGCAGAACCUGUAAAAGCCCAUCCAUUGAUCCAUGUUUAUGACUUUGUAGUCGUUUUGGAUCUGUGAAACAAAACUCAGAUGAUGAUAACAUUGCGAGUAAAACAAAAAGGCGUUAUUUUAAAGUGAUGAAGACCUUUAAAUACUCGACAAAGUAGUCAACUUGGGCUCGGAAAGUAGAUCCCAUGACAAUAUCCAGAAGUUGACAUAUAGUCUCUAUGUCUAUGCUCUUCUGUUUUUCCUCUGCAUUAGUAAACAAAGAUCAUAUAAACAUAAAAAUGUGAUCCGUGAAAUAAAAAAUCCCAUGUAGAAGCUGGAGUUAAUAUUACCUGUUAAACAAUAGCGGAAGGCAUAAGCAUAGAAAUCUGCAAAAUUUGAUUGCCGCCUGACCUUAAAGAGAUUAAAAAAAAAAAAGGAAGAAAAGCUUAAGCAUGACUCAAUGCUCAGAAGAUGCCAACCAAACAAUAUAUGAAAAAUGAAAACGAAAGAAUAAAACUUUGAACCUCUUUCUCAAGCUCGGGAAGGGCUUUCUUCAGUUUACUGAGUGUAUCAGCUCUUAAAGCCUUAAGACCUCUUCUCCACUCCUCCUACAGAUGCACAGUAAGUUAAUAAAACAAAAAGGAAAAAGAACCAAACUCAAUUCGAGUAUCAGAAAAAAGUGAUCUCACCUGCGUAAAGUAACCUUGUUUCUCAGCUUUCAUUUUCCUACAAUGUAAGAAGAGUAAAUGUAAAUAUUGCUAAAAGAAAAAGAAAAAAAAGAGAUGUAUUUAGAAAGUUUUGAUGGAUGGAUAUGAUAGUAAUAAGUACCAAGCAAGCAUCAAGAUUCUGAUAUCAGUAUGAGGCACUUCCAAGUUGGAGCAUAGCUCCUCUAUUCCUUCAGGGCUAACAUAUCAGAAGCAAUGAAUGUUAUGGCGGGAAGUGGAUAUAACAGAAACGAAGUAACUUCGUACACUCAAUGGCACGCACACUAGGAAGAAACCGAGCUUGAAAAGAUCAAAAUGGAAACUUACUCGAUGAGGUUGGAAGAUGUAUUGGCGUAUUGAUUAAACAAAUGGUCUAUUCGAUCCAUCUCUUUACUCGUCGCCUUACUCGGACCUGAAACCAUUAACAAAAAGUUGAUUCGAAAAGUGAAAGUCUUUGUUUCGUCAAAAGAUCAAUUGGAAGUGUUCACUUGUUUCAAAGGAUUCGUCUUUAGUCAUUAAUCAGCACACAUCACAAAGAAAUCAACUUUUCAGCAUAAUUAUACAUAUAUAAACCCUAGGAAGAUUCCGUUAAAUUGAUCGGGAAAGAUAUAUAUAUAUAUAUAGAGAGAGAGAGGAACCUGAGCGAAAGAGAUCGGUGGUGGAAGAUGUGAUUGAAUCAGAUUUCUUCUUCGAUGCUGCAGAAGACGGAGAGAAGAAGUAGUAAUAAAUAAGCAGAGAAACACAGAAGAAGAGGAAAGAGUACCACCACCACCACCACCACCACCACCACCACGAACGAAAGCUUCUAGAUGCAGCAUCUUUGCUUCCAGUUCAUUGCUUAGCCUCUCUUUAUCUUCAAGGAUCUUCUGGAUACUGCGAAUCGACAUCUGAUGCAUCUUCUUUGUUUCUGAGGAGAUAAAUUAGAGGCAAUAAUCAGACACCCUAAAAAACAUGCUAGAUGAAUGAUAAACAUAUUAGUUUUUUUUUUUUUCAGUUAAAAACCUUCUGCAUAAGCUUCGUCCAAGUUUUUCUUCUGGUCCUUGACCCUCUUCAGUAACAUAGCCGUCUCGUUGUAACUGUACUGAACCUUGUUCAGAUCCUCAUUAGUCAUAGCGAUCAUACUCGAGAGUUCUUCAAGAACACUGUUUCUAUCCUCAGCUUUUUCUUGAGAGAUAUCUGAAACGGUUCUUAGCUUCCCCUCCUUGGAGAGGUACUCACCGAUGGGUCCUUCAGAGUUAUAGUCUUCCGCACGUGCGCACCAUCCAUAAGCCUUGGACUCAGAAUCUCCCCUCUUCUCUACCCACUCCUUUUUGCUGCAGCCUUCCCUCUCAAACUCCUUCUCAAGCUCUGUCGCACUCGCAAACCCACUCCAGUCGCUGUUAAACUCAGCAACAACCGCAACAACACAAUCUUUUUGAACCAAGAACACAUUCACAUCAACAGGCUUGAACCUAGAAAGACGCUUCAACCAAUACCCCGAAUCGAGUAUAACCUCCUUGUCGUCAUCAGUUUCUUUCAAAGGAUUCAUCACAAUCCCCAUCCACGGCCAGACGUAAACCUCACCCGGUUUUGGUUCUGUCUCUUUUAACUGAGGGCGUCGUGGAAGAGGCUCUGCAUGACCACUACCAGCAAGUUCGGUCUCUAAGUACUUAGCCAAGGCGAGAUGAUUAGCCUUCUGUUUAGCACUUCUGCUGACGGAUCCUUUGGAGACACCAGAAGCAUGCGCCAUCAGCUCCUUGUAUUUGUAGUCUUGCUUCUUCUUGCCUGAACAAAAGGGGCAUCUCAGCGUUCCGUUCACCUUCUUAACCUUGUAAUGCCCGGUUUGGAGUUUCAGGUAGGGUUUUUGGGAGUAGUCAUCGAUCUCUGACUCGCUGAUCUCGGACUCUUCAUCAGGUGGAGGUGGAACAUCCAUCUUAAGCAAUCAAGAGGAUGGAUUAUAAAGAAAAUCAGAAAAAAACCGAAUCACUUUUAUAAGGAAGCAAAACUUCACAGGAAAGUUCAUGCAGCAAAAGGUUUGCUCUGAUCAUUCUGAAGAUGAAGCUAAAGGAAAGGCCCAAAAUAGACUCAAUUUCCUAGGAAAAUGAGUUCGCUAAUAUCGAAAUCACAGGAGCAAGCAUUAUAUAGAGAGUCUGUUACGAUAAGUAACCUAACGAAAAAAUGCGAAGAAUAUACAGAGGAAGUGAGGUAAAGCGUUAAAAGCAGAGGAAACACAGUACGAAAUAGAUUUCACUAUGAAGACGAAUGCAUAGAGAAAACUGGAGCUUACUAGCGACGGGGAACGAGAUGUAAAACACGGCGAUUGAUGAGGAGAGGAGAGUGAGGACUGAGGGAUACGAAAAGUUAGGGCUCAAGAGUGAAGGGAGAGGGAUUUUAGCACGAUUAAAAAAGAGUAACUAAUGUCAAGAGUGGGGUUCGAACCCACGCCCUUUCGGACCAGUACCUGAAACUGGCGCCUUAGACCACUCGGCCAUCUUGACUAUUGCCUGACUGUUAUUAAUAAAAUAUAUAGAGUGUAUCUGAUAAGUAAGGGUUAUGUAUAAUAUCACGUGUCAAGUUUGACUAGAACGUGUGGGUCAACUGUCCAAUGUACAUAUAUAAAUAAGCUUAGUGUAGGGUGAAAAACACUGGAUCAUCGCCCCCCUAAUCAUCGCCAUUCUCGAAUUAAAUUACUGAUUACGCAAAAAAGGAACCUAUUUGCCUCCGAACCAACUCUCUUCUUCUCUCCAUCAGAUCCGUUCUUCCUUCCCUCGUUAUCGAACCUAUUAGAUCGCGAGUUGAAGGUUCGGUUACGAGGAGGAAGAAAGGUUAUUCUUUGAUCUGAUUUCACAAAGGAGAGUUUUUGGCUGAUUCAUAAAAACACCAUGGACGUUCCUAGCUCUUGGGAUGCUUUACGCAAACAGGUAAUUUUCUCGUGUGUUUUUUACUCUAACCUUCUGGGUAUCUACUAAAUCGAUAUCCUUCUUCUGGGUCUCAAUCGAAUUGAGGAAUUGAUUGGCUAUUUCUUGUUGGCUCAAUCUCACAAAGAUGAGAUUUUUAUUCUAUUGGAUCUAACUGUAGUGUCAACGAUAAACUUUAAAGGAAGAUGCUUUUGUGUUUUCUGCGUUUUGAUUUUGACAGGCUAGGAAGAUUGAAGCUCAGCUUGACGAGCAGAUGCAUUCAUAUCGCAGACUCGUUUCCACAAAGGCUCUGAUAAAGUCAGAUGGUGCAGAGAGUGACCUUGAAGCUGGGAUUGACUCACUGCUUAGGCAACUGCAACAAGUUAAUGCUCAGAUGCAAGCUUGGGUUUCUUCAGGUGGUUCAGAGAUGGUCUCUCAUACUUUAACUCGUCAUCAGGAGAUCC